GAUGAAGAACGUAGCGAAAUGCGAUAAGUAAUGUGAAUUGCAGAAUUCAGUGAAUCAUCGAAUCUUUGAACGCACAUUGCGCCCGCCAGUAUUCUGGCGGGCAUGCCUGUUCGAGCGUCAUUUCAACCCUCAGGCCCCCAAUGCCUGGUGUUGGGGAUCGGCAGCAGGGCGUCAAGCCCGCCGGCCCCGAAAUCUAGUGGCGGUCUCGCUGUAGUCCUCCUCUGCGUAGUAGCACAACCUCGCAGUUGGAACGCGGCGGUGGCCAUGCCGUUAAACACCCCACUUCUGAAAGUUGACCUCGGAUCAGGUAGGAAUACCCGCUGAACUUAAGCAUAUCAAUAAGCGGAGGA
rnacentral:misc_RNA from 1 species